rnacentral:rRNA from 1 species
GACGUAGGGCGCGAGCGUUGUCCGGAUUUAUUGGGCGUAAAGAGCUCGUAGGCGGCUUGUCGCGUCGGCUGUGAAAACCUGCAGCUUAACUGUGGGCGUGCGGUCGAUACGGGCAUCACUGGAGUUCGGCAGGGGAGACUGGAAUUCCUGGUGUAGCGGUGAAAUGCGCAGAUAUCAGGAGGAACACCGGUGGCGAAGGCGGGUCUCUGGGCCGAUACUGACGCUGAGGAGCGAAAGUGUGGGGAGCGAACAGG